rnacentral:lncRNA from 1 species
CCACUUGCAUAGUUGGCCACUUAUAUUUAUGUGCACAAUUACCCAUUUACUCAUUCUUUCAUUUUUUUUACUGCUUUCUUUUUUCUGUAUUAACUGUCUUAGUGUAUACAACAUAAAAGAAAUAAGCAAUGACACUAUAUUUUAUUUAGUACAACUAUUUAAAGCUUUAAAAGUUACUAAAAUCUAUAGUAUUAUUAUAAAACUUGUUCACAGUCGCACUAAGCAGGAUUACAAACACCGGAACGAAUGGAAUGUUAUAAGGCUUUUUUAAUAUCACAAAAAAAAAAAAAAAUAAUAAUCAUAAUAAUAAUAACAAAAAAAAUAGAUAAAUGAACAAAAACCUUCAAAUAUGACAUAACAUAUGAAUAUAUAUAUAUAUAUGAGCACACACAGUGAUACAUGUGUUUUUUUUUUUUUUCUUUUUUUUUUUUUAAAGUUUGAAAAAAUGGAAAGCAUGAAACGUAUGAAAACUUUGAAGGAAAGUCUAAAGUUUACAAAUAAAGUCCACCUGACUAUAAUAAGAAGAUAUUUUAUGUCGAUAUUUUUUAUACUGUUAUCAUAUAUAUUCAUAGAAAUGAUAUCGACUUCAAAGCAUAAUCAUAACUCGAUGGACUACUUUGUUUACAACUUAAAUCUAGUUUCUUUUGACGAUUAUUAUGAAACAGAGUUUUUAAAAGCGCUGUAUUAUUAUAGUACAAUUCAGAAAAACAAUGAUUCGGGUGAAUAUUUAAUAAGCUUUAAAUCUAAAAAGAAGUUAAAAAAUUUUACAAACAGAAAGGAAAUUAAUUUAAAAGGAAAUGAACAUGUUUUAUGGGAUUUUACAAAUUUGUAUUAUGUAAUAAAAAAAAUAAAAUAAAAAUAAAUAAAUAAAUAAAAAA